rnacentral:rRNA from 1 species
CCCAGACUCCUACGGGAGGCAGCAGUGGGGGAUAUUGCACAAUGGGGGAAACCCUGAUGCAGCGACGCCGCGUGGGUGAAGAAGCGCCUCGGCGCGUAAAGCCCUGUCAGCAGGGAAGAAAAUGACGGUACCUGAAGAAAAAGCAUCGGCUAACUCCGUGCCAGCAGCCGCGGUAAUACGGAGGAUGCGAGCGUUAUCCGGAUUUAUUGGGUUUAAAGGGUGCGUAGGCGGAAUGCCAAGUCAGCGGUAAAAUCGCGGGGCUCAACCUCGCUCCGCCGUUGAAACUGGCGUUCUUGAGUGGGCGAGAAGUAUGCGGAAUUCCUGGUGUAGCGGUGAAAUGCGUAGAUAUCAGGAGGAACACCGGUGGCGAAGGCGGCCUGCUGGACUGCGACUGACGUUGAGGCCCGACAGCGUGGGGAGCCAACAGGAUUAGAUACCCGUGUA